GAUGAACGCUGGCGGCGUGCUUAACACAUGCAAGUCGAACGAUGAAGCCCAGCUUGCUGGGUGGAUUAGUGGCGAACGGGUGAGUAACACGUGAGUAACCUGCCCUUAACUCUGGGAUAAGCCUGGGAAGCUGGGUCUAAUACCGGAUAGGAGCGUCCACCGCAUGGUGGGUGUUGGAAAGAUUUAUCGGUUUUGGAUGGACUCGCGGCCUAUCAGCUUGUUGGUGAGGUAAUGGCUCACCAAGGCGACGACGGGUAGCCGGCCUGAGAGGGUGACCGGCCACACUGGGACUGAGACACGGCCCAGACUCCUACGGGAGGCAGCAGUGGGGAAUAUUGCACAAUGGGCGAAAGCCUGAUGCAGCGACGCCGCGUGAGGGAUGGCGGCCUUCGGGUUGUAAACCUCUUUCAGUAGGGAAGAAGCGAAAGUGACGGUACCUGCAGAAGAAGCACCGGCUAACUACGUG
rnacentral:rRNA from 1 species